GUGGGGAAUCUUGCGCAAUGGGCGAAAGCCUGAUGCAGCCAUGCCGCGUGAAUGAUGAAGGUCUUAGGAUUGUAAAAUUCUUUCACCGGGGACGAUAAUGACGGUACCCGGAGAAGAAGCCCCGGCUAACUUCGUGCCAGCAGCCGCGGUAAUACGAAGGGGGCUAGCGUUGCUCGGAAUUACUGGGCGUAAAGGGCGCGUAGGCGGACAGUUUAGUCAGAGGUGAAAGCCCAGGGCUCAACCUUGGAAUUGCCUUUGAUACUGGCUGUCUUGAGUACGGGAGAGGUGAGUGGAACUCCGAGUGUAGAGGUGAAAUUCGUAGAUAUUCGGAAGAACACCAGUGGCGAAGGCGACUCACUGGCCCGUUACUGACGCUGAGGCGCGAAAGCGUGGGGAGCAAACAGGAUUAGAUACCCUUGUAGUCC
rnacentral:rRNA from 1 species